UUUUUUCUCAGUGAAGAGUGCUUUAAAUUUUUAUAUAAUGAAAAUUGGAAGGACAAAAAAUGUAAAACUGGAAUGAACAAAGACUAUCUAAUGUAAUGCAAUCACUUCUUAUACCAACUACACCAUCAUUAUCCUGGUCUAUAUGUAUCCUAGUUCAUCACCAUUCAAAUGAUCACUUCCCAUAAUUGGACAAUCUGAUGCAUCAUGUCCAAACUGC
rnacentral:misc_RNA from 1 species